rnacentral:lncRNA from 1 species
AUUUUAUUUUCCACUUCCUAUUUGUCUUGCUAAUGUUUUUUUCUCUAAAAGGUAGGUUUCCAGGGGUGCAAGCCACAGAGACCUGGUACACUCUGCUGAUUCGGUACAAGUGAAGCCUAAUCCUGAGUUAAAACACAAAGUUUUACAGAUGUUGUGGACUCUACAUCCUUCUCUGGUGAACAUGAAAGCUUUUCAAGGUCAGCAGUGCCAUACAGGUGGGAGCUGUUGAUGUUGGGAGCCCAAGCAGCAUUCCACUCUUCUCUGUCAGAGAAAGGAAUGGACACUAGGAAGUGUGCCCAUGUAUAUCAGCUUUAUUUACU